UCAGGCCUAACACAUGCAAGUCGAGCGAGAAAGCCUUCGGGUGAGUAUAGCGGCGGACGGGUGAGUAACGCGUGGGAAUCUGCCUGGUAGUGGGGGACAACAGUUGGAAACGACUGCUAAUACCGCAUACGCCCUACGGGGGAAAGCGGGGGAUCUUCGGACCUCGUGCUAUCAGAUGAGCCCACGUCAGAUUAGCUAGUUGGUGGGGUAAAGGCCUACCAAGGCGACGAUCUGUAGCUGGUCUGAGAGGAUGAUCAGCCACACUGGGACUGAGACACGGCCCAGACUCCUACGGGAGGCAGCAGUGGGGAAUAUUGCACAAUGGGGGAAACCCUGAUGCAGCCAUGCCGCGUGUGUGAAGAAGGCCUUCGGGUUGUAAAGCACUUUAAGCAGUGAGGAAAGGGUGUAGAUUAAUACUCUGCAUCUGUGACGUUAACUGCAGAAUAAGCACCGGCUAACUCCGUGCCAGCAGCCGCGGUAAUACGGAGGGUGCGAGCGUUAAUCGGAAUUACUGGGCGUAAAGCGCACGUAGGUGGUUUGUUAAGCGAGGUGUGAAAUCCCCGGGCUCAACCUGGGAACUGCACUUCGAACUGGCAGGCUAGAGUAUGGUAGAGGAUAGUGGAAUUUCAGGUGUAGCGGUGAAAUGCGUAGAGAUCUGAAGGAACAUCAGUGGCGAAGGCGACUGUCUGGACUAAUACUG
rnacentral:rRNA from 1 species